CCUACGGGUGGCAGCAGUGAGGAAUAUUGGUCAAUGGGCGAGAGCCUGAACCAGCCAAGUCGCGUGAGGGAAGAAGGUUCUAUGGUUUGUAAACUUCUUUUGUCAGGGAGUAAAGUUAUCCACGUGUGGAUGUUUGCAUGUACCCUAUGAAUAAGCAUCGGCUAACUCCGUGCCAGCAGCCGCGGUAAUACGGAGGAUGCGAGCGUUAUCCGGAUUUAUUGGGUUUAAAGGGUGCGUAGGUUGGUUUUUAAGUCAGCGGUGAAAGUUUGGGGCUCAACCAUAAAAUUGCCGUUGAAACUGGAAGACUUGAGUGGGUGUGAGGUAUGCGGAAUGCGUGGUGUAGCGGUGAAAUGCAUAGAUAUCACGCAGAACUCCGAUUGCGAAGGCAGCUUACUAGGGCAUAACUGACGCUGAAGCACGAAAGCGUGGGGAUCAAACAGGAUUAGAUACCCGUGUAGUC
rnacentral:rRNA from 1 species